AGCAAGGUCUGAUGGGAUUGUACUGGCUGUGCCUGAAGUGAUAACCAGGGAAGUUAACUGGCAUCCAUCACACCAGACAGAGCAGAAUCGAUGUUGUUUAACAAGUGAAAUUCAAGUUUGUUUGCCCACCUUAAAAUAUCAGCCAAUACUUAGAAGCAACUUCUCUAAUGCCAGCCUCUGGAGAAUGAUGAUUUUCAUAUAACCUUCACUUAGAAUCUGCUCUUGAGAACCACCUGUGUUAUUGAAUGAACAGUAGUUUACAUUCCUUCAUGCUGAAUAAUUUUCCACUACAAGGAUUUACAGAAGUCUACUUAUCUGCUUUACCAGUUGAUGUACAAUGUCACUUCUGGUUUUAUCUACAUGAAUAAAAGUAGCAUGAUUACUCAAGGA